GGCGAGCGCCGCUACCUGCAGUCGACGAGAAGCUCCCUUCGGGGGGUGAGUACAGUGGCGAACGGGUGAGUAACACGUGGGUUACCUGCCCUCGAGUGGGGAAUAACCUUGGGAAACCGGGGCUAAUACCGCAUACGAUCUACGGAUGAAAGCUUUAUGCGCUCGAGGAGGGACCCGCGGUCGAUUAGCUUGUUGGUGAGGUAACGGCUCACCAAGGCAACGAUCGAUAGCCGGCCUGAGAGGGCACACGGCCACACUGGCACUGAGACACGGGCCAGACUCCUACGGGAGGCAGCAGUGGGGAAUCUUGGACAAUGGGGGAAACCCUGAUCCAGCGACGCCGCGUGAUCGAUGAAGGCCUUCGGGUCGUAAAGAUCUUUCAGCGGGGACUAUUGUGAAGGUACCCGCAGAAGCAGGAGCGGCUAACUACGUGCCAGCAGCCGCGGUAAUACGUAGGCUCCAAGCGUUGUUCGGAAUUACUGGGCGUAAAGCGAGUGUAGGCGGUCCGACAAGUCGAUUGUGAAAUCUCCCGGCUCAACCGGGAGGGUGCGGUCGAAACUGUCGGACUCGAGUCCGAGAGGGGAGAGUGGAAUUCCUGGUGUAGCGGUGAAAUGCGUAGAUAUCAGGAGGAACACCGGUGGUGAAGACGGCUCUCUGGAUCGUGACUGACGCUGAGACUCGAAAGCGUGGGGAGCAAACAGGAUUAGAUACCCUGGUAGUCCACGCCCUAAACGAUGCGUACUUGGUGUAGGCUCUUCACUGGGUCUGUGCCGGAGCAAACGCGUUAAGUACGCCGCCUGGGGAGUACGGUCGNCAGGCUGAAACUCAAAGGAAUUGACGGGGGCC
rnacentral:rRNA from 1 species